rnacentral:rRNA from 1 species
GAACGCUGGCGGCGUGCCUAAUACCUGCAAGUCGAGCGAACAGACGAGGAGCUUGCUCCUCUGACGUUAGCGGCGGACGGGUGAGUAACACGUGGAUAACCUACCUAUAAGACUGGGAUAACUUCGGGAAACCGGAGCUAAUACCGGAUAAUAUAUUGAACCGCAUGGUUCAAUAGUGAAAGACGGUUUUGCUGUCACUUAUAGAUGGAUCCGCGCCGCAUUAGCUAGUUGGUAAGGUAACGGCUUACCAAGGCAACGAUGCGUAGCCGACCUGAGAGGGUGAUCGGCCACACUGGAACUGAGACACGGUCCAGACUCCUACGGGAGGCAGCAGUAGGGAAUCUUCCGCAAUGGGCGAAAGCUUGACGGAGCAACGCCGCGUGAGUGAUGAAGGUCUUCGGAUCGUAAAACUCUGUUAUUAGGGAAGAACAAAUGUGUAAGUAACUAUGCACGUCUUGACGGUACCUAAUCAGAAAGCCACGGCUAACUACGUG